UCACGCGUCGGGGCGCGGGAGAGCUGCCAGCGCCAACAUGGCGGCGCCCAGUUGUGGCGAGUUCGUUCGCUUCGAGUUUUGGCCAGGGCGGGGGUCUGGGCUUUAGGCAGGUAGUAUUUAAUUUCACAAUGUUUGGGGACCUAUUUGAAGAGGAUUAUUCCAGUGUGUCAAAUAAUCAUUAUGGAAAAGGGAAGAAAUUAAAGACCAAAGCUUUGGAGCCACCUGCUCCUAGAGAAUUCACCAAUUUAAGUGGAAUCAGAAAUCAGGGUGGAACCUGUUACCUCAAUUCCCUUCUUCAGACUCUUCAUUUCACACCUGAAUUCCGAGAAGCUUUGUUUUCUCUUGGCCCAGAGGAACUUGGUUCUUUAGAAGACAAGGAUAAACCUGAUGCAAAGGUCCGAAUCAUACCUUUACAGUUACAGCGGUUGUUUGCACAGCUCCUGCUCUUAGACCAGGACGCUGCAUCCACAACAGACCUCACUGACAGCUUCGGGUGGACCAGCAAUGAGGAAAUGAGGCAACAUGAUGUGCAGGAACUGAAUCGAAUUCUCUUUAGUGCUUUGGAAACUUCUUUAGUUGGGACCUCCGGCCAUGACCUCAUCAAUCGUCUAUAUCACGGAACCAUUGUUAACCAGAUUGUUUGUAAAGAAUGUAAGAAUGUCAGUGAAAAGCAGGAAGACUUCUUAGAUCUAACAGUAGCAGUCAAAAAUGUAUCAGGUUUGGAAGAUGCCCUCUGGAACAUGUAUGUAGAAGAGGAAGUUUUUGACUGUGACAACUUAUACCACUGUGGGACUUGUGACAGGCUGGUUAAAGCAGCAAAGUCGGCCAAAUUGCGUAAGCUGCCUCCCUUUCUUACUGUUUCAUUAUUAAGAUUUAAUUUUGAUUUUGUGAAGUGUGAGCGAUACAAGGAAACUAGCUGUUACACGUUCCCUCUCCGGAUCAAUCUCAAGCCUUUUUGUGAACAGAGUGAAUUAGAUGACUUGGAAUAUAUGUAUGACCUCUUCUCAGUAAUUAUACACAAAGGUGGUUGCUACGGAGGACAUUAUCACGUGUAUAUUAAAGAUGUUGAUCAUUUGGGAAACUGGCAGUUUCCAGAGGGAAAAAGUAACCUAGAUGUGAAUUUGAAAGAUCAGAAAGAGGAAGCAAUUGAUGAUCCAUUGAUGAUUCUAAAAGCAAUCUUACUACAGGAGGAGAGUAAUCUAAUUCCUGUUGAUCAGCUGGGCCAGAAACUCUUGAAAAAGAUAGGAAUAUCUUGGAACAAGAAGUACAGAAAACAGUACGGACCACUGCGAAAGUUCUUACAGCUUCAUUCUCAGAUAUUUCUGCUCAGUUCAGAUGAAAGUACAGUUCGUCUAUUGAAGGACUAUUCUCUCCAGGCUGAGUCUGAUUUCCAGAGGAAUGAUCAGCAAGUUUUCAAGACACUUACUUCAAAAUCCCCAGGAUUAAAUGAUAGACCCUCGUGUCCCCACUGGUUUGAUAUAAAUGAUUCCAAAGUCCAGCCAAUCAAAGAAAAGGCCAUUGAACAGCAAUUUCAGGGUAAAGAAAGUGCCUACAUGUUGUUUUAUCGGAAAUCCCAGUUGCAGAGACCCCCUGAAGCUCGCGCUAACCCAAGAUACAAGGUUCCAUGUCAUUUACUGAAUGAAAUGGAUGCAGCCAACAUUGAACUACAAAUAAAAAGGGCAGAGUGUGAUUCUACAAACAAUAAUUUUGAGUUGCAUCUCCACCUCGGGCCCCAUUAUCGUUUCUUCAAUGGGGCCCUGCACCCAGUAGUGUCUCAGACAGAAAGCGUGUGGGAUUUGACCUUUGAUAAAAGAAAAACGUUAGGAGAUCUUCGACAGUCAAUAUUUCAGCUGUUAGAAUUUUGGGAAGGAGAUAUGGUUCUUAGUGUUGCAAAGUUUGUACCAGCAGGACUUCACAUUUACCAGACACUUGAUGGAGAUGACCUGAUGCUGUGUGAAGUUGACAUUGCUGACGGGGAAGACAUCUUUGUGUGGAACGGGGUGGAGGUUGGCGGAAUCCAGAUUCCAACUGGUGGUGACUGUGAACCUCUGCUUCUGAAUGUUCUUUCUCUCACUCCGAGCGGUGAGGGAGGAGAGUGUCAGCAGUUGAUAGAAUCUCCACGUGUCUUUCCAUCCAAUGCACAAUUAGGCACGGUAUUCAGUGCCCUUGCAAUCCCAGAAGGAGUCGUCGUCCUAAUCAGCAAUACUGAAUCUAUAGGUGAAGAGAGUUGGACCACCGUUCCCAAGGAAGACUUGAAGAAGACAUUCAGAGAACAAGGUCUCAGAAACGGAAGCUCAAUUUUAAUUCAGGAUUCUAGUAGUGAUAACAGUUUGUUGACCAAACAAGGGAAAUGGAUCACUGGUGUGAAUGACACUGACUGGCUCCAAGUUAAAAAUUUAUGCCAAUUAGAAUCUGAAGAGGAGCAAGUUAAAGUAUCAGCAACUGUUAACACAGUGGUGUUUGAUAUUCGAAUUAAAGCCAUAAAGGAAUUAAAAUUAAUGAAGGAACUAGCUGAGAACAGCUGUUUGAGACCUAUCGAUAGAAAUGGGAAGCUUCUUUGUCCAGUGCUAGACAGUUACACUCUGAAGGAAGCAGGAUUGAAGAUGGGGAGUUCGUUGGGACUGUGUCCUGGAAAAGCGCCAACGUCCUCUCAGCUGUUCCUGUUUUUUGCCGUGGGGAGUGAUGUUCAGCCUGGGACAGAGAUGGAGAUCAUAGUAGAAGAAACGACGUCUGUGAGAGAUUGUUUAAAGGUAAUGCUGGAGAAAUCUGGCCUGUCAGGAGACACAUGGCAUUUACGAAAAAUGGAUUGGUGCUAUGAAGCUGGGGAGCCUUUAUGUGAAGAAGAUGCAACACUGAAAGAGCUUAUGAUAUCUUCUGGAGACGCGUUGCUUUUAACUGAAGGAAAACUUCCUCCUCUGGGUUUUCUGAAGGUGCCUGUCUGGUGGUACCAGCCGCGGAUCCCCUCGCACCCGUGGAAGAGUCGUCAGGACCAGGCAAGCUGCACCUUUUCUCAGGGCGGGGACUGGAGAGCUGCCUCCACCCAAGGUGCGCCCAGUGAUGGGCACGCAGAAGGUUCCCUCCUCUUCUUGGGAGACGUUGACAUCUCCGAAGAUGCCGCUUUGGUGGAGCUGAAGUCUCAGGCCAUGACCUUGCCCUCCUUCUCAGAGUUUUGCAUCCCAUCCCCAGCCUUCCUCAGAGCCUGGACCGUGGACAGCAAGCGUCCGGGCAGGCUCUUGCGAUUCCACCACCAGCAGCUCAAGGAAUAUAAAUUGGGAAGGAGAACUGAGAUCUGCUUAGAGCCCCUUCAGAAAGAAGAAAACCUGGGCCCCCAGGACAUGCUGCUGAGGACACAGAUGCGCCUCCCUGGCAAGAGGGCAUACACCCUGCCCAUGGACAUGGUGUGGGACACUGCCCGAGGCUCAACAGCUGGCUCCCUGAGGCAGCGAGUGGCUGACUUCUAUUCUCUCCCUGUGGAGAAGACUGAAAUUGCCAAAUACUUCCCUGAAAAGUUUGAGUGGCUUCCAGUAUCCAGCUGGAAUCAGCAAAUUACCAAGAGGAAAAAGAAGAAAAAGCAAGAUAAUUUGCAGGGGGCGCCUUAUUACUUGAAAGAUGGCGAUACUAUUGGUGUUAAGAAUCUCCUGGUUGAAGACGAUGAUGAUUUCAGCACAGUCAGAGAUGACAUUGCAAGAGAAAAGCAGAAACAGCUCGCUCUUGGGAAGAAGAGCCAGGAAGCCCUGCAUGUGCAGAGCAGCGACGUCGCCUCCGGCGCAGAGACGCCUGCCCGGCCCCGGGGACCAGAAGCUUCCCUCUCCAUCCACGUUGGGAGUUUCAGAUAGCAGCGGGGCCCGGGAGCGGGCCUGUUGGUGCCUGCCUCGUGCGGACACGGACUUCACACCUCUGCCUUGUCACGAGCACAGGGGCGUUUCGUCUCAGGCCAGAUGUCGGAUUCCCCCUGGAACAGACUGAGCUGUAAAUGACCAAGUCCCAGGGCCCUCAGCCCGUCUGGACAGGAAACGCGGCAGCUGCUCCAUCACCCUGUCCCCAGUCGCACCUGGCAGUGAGACAUGACGAAGCGCCGUGGGUGUGUGCAUUCUGGAAAGCCACUGCACUUCAGAGACUUCACAAGCGAAAGGAAGAGACGUCUCCAGCUCCCUCCAGUGGCCCGUUUCCCUUUGUGAGCCUGCCUGGCCCUGCGGCCUCCUGUCCCCGCAAGCUUCUGCCCCGGGGCUACAAUGCCACCACCAGCACCUCCUUCCAGGUGCCUGUACAAGCCCUGGGCCCCCUCACCCCUCAAAGCGGUGGACUCUGCACCGAGGUCAGAGCUGCCCAUCAGGCCUGCUCUCCUGCCCCCCCCGGGGGAGUGGGAGCCGCUCCACCACCCACAGCGCGGCCACUCGUGCCUCCCCAGGGACUGCCCCCCAGUCCCACCCCAGUCUCUCCUGCUCUCUAGUCUGGGGUCACCUCCGUGUUGGGUAUCUCAGGAUUCAGCAACCAGCCGUGACAAACGGUAAUCUGACCCAGCACCAGUGUGCCGAGGGUGGGCACCGCGAUAGAACGUCUCUUCUGGAAGACAGAAGGCAAACCCCAGGCAGUCCGGCCCCCACGGUCACGGGCCUUGCACCACGUCCUCGCCCGGGGCCUGCUCUCUGGGGAUCCUGCCCGUCCCCCUGGCAGUGGAAGGACAUCCCUCUGCGGUGGCCGCACUGGGGCACUUUCCCCGAGUGCCCGUCCUGGGGACCUAGGGACUGGGGCCUCGGGGGCCGAGUGACCACUGGCUUUUUUCUGCCUGGUGGGGUCUGGCUGGCUUCCCUGUUGCCUGGAAUGCCCAGGGGGCUUGCAGGUGGCCUGUGAGUGAGAAAGCCUUCCGCUCCCCAGCCCGCUGCUUUUCCCUGCUUGUGCUUGUGACCGAAACUGCAAAGGCCAAGCCCUGGCUCCUGCCAGGACCGACACUGUUCGGAGGCCAGUGCCCGGGCUGGGCUGGGCUGUGCGGCUGGAGGUUCCCCCCUGCCCCCCUGUCCUGGCCACCGCGGGCUCAGACCCGCCCCACAGGUGCGCCGGGCGGCUCCGAAGUCCCCUCCGCGCGGUUCCCAGCGUCGCUUUGGCCUCACACCUGCAGAGCGCGGGUAACUCGUGUCUCUGUGUGCUUUUGCCUUUCCAAGGGCUGUGAGGUCUUUGCCCAAUUCUACCCUCGGGAGAGAUGAGUACUUGUUCUGGAAGGACAGUGACAGGAAUCAGUUUCAACUCUGAGACAGAACAGGACACCUGCAGUGCCCACUCACAUCAGAGAAGCGGAGACGCGGCGAGUCGGGGAGCAGCUCUGGCUGCUGGCGCUUCGGCCGUCGCGUCCACGCUCCAGGGCAGCAGCAGGAGGAGCUGAGGGAAAGGCACAUUCUCAUAUUUUUAAGGAAACUUUCUGGAAAUUUCAGUCAAUAUUUCUCUCAGUCUUGUGACUAAGGCUGACUGCAGAGGAGGCUGGGGAAAGCGGCCACGUUAGCAGAGGCCCCUCUGGGCCCGUGGCUUCCCGGGACGAUGCAGGUUCUGUUGGGGGCGGGGGGAGGGAGGACCGUGCGGGCCUCAGUCGCGGCCUCGGGGACGCCCAGAGAGGCUGAGCCCCAGUGACACAACACAGGGCGACGUGAGGCCUGGGCGCAGAGCUGAAAGGCACCUGAAAAGCUCAGGAGUCAUUUUUCAAUACAAUAUUUUUAGGUAUCAAAAUUAAUGCAGAAAAAUCCACGAUGAACAAAAUACCAAAACUUUAAAUAAAGGCAAGGUCAACACAAGUCAGGGGCCAUGCAGGCCAAGAUACUCGCUUUAGAAAACAAACAUCUUCUAAAGUCCCUUCCACGUCCUGCGGCCAGGCGCACGGCCACCGCUGGCCAGCUCCGUCCUGAGGAAACUGAGUUGGGGUCAGAAGGAAGAAGGAACAACAUGAAUAAAAGUGCUCCCUUUCAUGGAGGAUUGCAGGAAGAAGGGGAGGACGGGGUGCAGCGGUCACAUGCGUGUCUCGGUUUCCCUUCUCCAGCCCCCAGGCCCUCCCCAAGUCCUCCUCAGUCGUCAGGCAGUGUACACACUGAGCUGAGCCAUGAAGGGGCCAGAAUUCAGGGAGGGGCUGGAAGCCCCUGGGGCCAAGGCGAGACGGUCACCAGGAACACCCCCUGGUUACAGCUGCCAGCCUCCAGGUGCACGGUCAGCACCCCAGCCAGCAGGCAGGGCCACACUGGCAGAGGGGCCGCUGCUGCCCAGCCGGUGCCGAGGGACAGCUCACAGCAAGAGGGCUCCCUCCCUCCCAUCUCCCCUCAGACCCACGUGCCUCCCUCCUUCCAAAGACCUGGAGAGCAUCUGAAGGGGAAAGCAGGACCAGGCGGGCGUUAACUGAGGGACUUCUUCCCUGCGGGGACCUUAAACCCCGAGGCACCCUCCAGCAGAGACCGCUGGCUGGUGAGCGCAAGUCAUGGCCCCUUCGUCCUCGGCAAUGGCCGCACUGCAUUUGCCAGCCUCCUUUGCAGCCAGGUGCAGCCAGGUCCCCCAGGUUUCCAUUUCCACAGCGCUGCUUGCAGGCUGGCUCAGGAAACCCCGGUGCGCCGCUCCUCCCUCCCC